UACGUAGGGUGCGAGCGUUGUCCGGAAUUAUUGGGCGUAAAGGGCUCGUAGGCGGUCUGUCGCGUCGGGAGUGAAAACUCAGGGCUUAACCCUGAGCCUGCUUCCGAUACGGGCAGACUAGAGGUAUGCAGAGGAGAACGGAAUUCCUGGUGUAGCGGUGGAAUGCGCAGAUAUCGAGGAGGAACACCGGUGGCGAAGGCGGUUCUCUGGGCAUUACCUGACGCUGAGGAGCGAAAGUGUGGGGAGCGAACAGG
rnacentral:rRNA from 1 species